AGCAGCCGCGGUAAUUCCAGCUCCAAUAGCGUAUAUUAAAGUUGUUGCAGUUAAAAAGCUCGUAGUUGAAUUUCGGGAUUUGUCAGUUGGUCGGGCUCCACUGUCCGUAUUGACUUGAUGGAUUCUUACCUUCUGAAUAACCAGCAUGCUAUUAAGUUAGUGCGUUGGGGAAGCAGAUCUAUUACCUUGAAAAAAUUAGAGUGCUUAAAGCGAGCUAGUGCUUGAAUAGAUUAGCAUGGAAUAAUAAAAUAGGACGGCAUGGUUCUAUUUUGUUGGUUUCUAGGAUCACCGUAAUGAUUAAUAGGGAUAGUUGGGGGCAUUAGUAUUCAAUUGUCAGAGGUGAAAUUCUUGGAUUUAUUGAAGACUAACUUCUGCGAAAGCAUUUGCCAAGGAUGUUUUCAUUAAUCAAGAACGAAAGUUAGGGGAUCGAAGACGAUCAGAUACCGUCGUAGUCUUAACCAUAAACUAUGCCGACUAGGAAUCGGACGAUGUUAAUUUUAUAAUGACUCGUUCGGCUAAC
rnacentral:rRNA from 1 species